rnacentral:rRNA from 1 species
AAUCUGCCUCUAGGUCGGGGACAACAAUUGGAAACGAUUGCUAAUACCCGAUGUGCACCAAUGUGAAAGAUUUAUUGCCUAGAGAUGAACUCGCGUCUGAUUAACUAGUAGGUGUGGUAAUGGCGCACCUAGGCGACGAUCAAUAACUGGUCUGAGAGGAUGACCAGUCACACUGGGACUGAGACACGGCCCAGACUCCUACGGGAGGCAGCAGUGGGGAAUUUUCCGCAAUGGGCGAAAGCCUGACGGAGCAAUACCGCGUGAGG